rnacentral:rRNA from 1 species
CCUACGGGGGGCUGCAGUGGGGAAUAUUGGACAAUGGGGGGAACCCUGAUCCAGCCAUGCCGCGUGUGUGAAGAAGGCCCUCGGGUUGUAAAGCACUUUCAGUGAGGAAGAACGCCUGUUGGUUAAUACCCAUCAGGAAAGACAUCACUCACAGAAGAAGCACCGGCUAACUCCGUGCCAGCAGCCGCGGUAAUACGGAGGGUGCGAGCGUUAAUCGGAAUUACUGGGCGUAAAGCGCGCGUAGGUGGCUUGAUAAGCCGGUUGUGAAAGCCCCGGGCUCAACCUGGGAACGGCAUCCGGAACUGUCAAGCUAGAGUGCAGGAGAGGAAGGUAGAAUUCACGGUGUAGCGGUGAAAUGCGUAGAGAUCGGGAGGAAUACCAGUGGCGAAGGCGGCCUUCUGGACUGACACUGACACUGAGGUGCGAAAGCGUGGGUAGCAAACAGGAUUAGAUACCCUAGUAGUC